AUAAAAAACCACAGAGAAGUCAUCUGCGAUGUCCACUGCCUGUUGACAGGAGGAUGUCAUCAGGAGGGGACCUGCACAAAGCACAUGGGAACCCAGAGGCAUAAGCUGGAAUUCUGAGCGUGGCUGACAUGGAAGAACGUGCCAUGUGACAGCCUCUCUUCCUAACAAAGGGCAGGAGCACAAAAGCAAAUGUGAAUCAGCUACAAUGGAGGACAGAUUCUACUGAAAAUGAACUGUUACUGAAAAGCAGAAAUUUAAGAAUAUCAGACUCCUCUCCAUUCCUGGCAAACUUAUCAAUCUGAUUUCCCCAAAACCAAUGAGAUGAGAAGGGAGAAAGGUGCUAGUUACACUCCA